UACGUAGACCACAAGCGUUAUCCGGAUUUAUUGGGCGUAAAGCGCGUGUAGGAGGUCUUGUGCGUUUCUGGUUAAAGCCCACUGCCUAACGGUGGAAGUGCCGGGAAUACGACAAGACUGGAGGAGGUGAGAGGUGCAUGGAACUCACGGUGUAGGGGUGAAAUCCGUUGAUAUCGUGGGGAACACCAAAGGCGAAGGCAGUGCACUGGCACCUUCCUGACUCUGAGACGCGAAAGCGUGGGGAGCAAAAAGG
rnacentral:rRNA from 1 species